rnacentral:rRNA from 1 species
GAUGAACGCUGGCGGCGUGCCUAAUACAUGCAAGUCGAGCGAACAGACGAGGAGCUUGCUCCUCUGACGUUAGCGGCGGACGGGUGAGUAACACGUGGAUAACCUACCUAUAAGACUGGGAUAACUUCGGGAAACCGGAGCUAAUACCGGAUAAUAUAUUGAACCGCAUGGUUCAAUAGUGAAAGACGGUUUUGCUGUCACUUAUAGAUGGAUCCGCGCCGCAUUAGCUAGUUGGUAAGGUAACGGCUUACCAAGGCAACGAUGCGUAGCUGACCUGAGAGGGUGAUCGGCCACACUGGAACUGAGACACGGUCCAGACGCCUACGGGAGGCAGCAGUAGGGAAUCUUCCGCAAUGGGCGAAAGCCUGACGGAGCAACGCCGCGUGAGUGAUGAAGGUCUUCGGAUCGUAAAACUCUGUUAUUAGGGAAGAACAAAUGUGUAAGUAACUAUGCACGUCUUGACGGUACCUAAUCAGAAAGCCACGGCUAACUACGUG